rnacentral:rRNA from 1 species
AUUGAACGCUGGCGGCAGGCGUAACACAUGCAAGUCGAACGGUAACACGAAACAGUUUCUUGUUUCGUUUUCGCGUGGCGGACGGGUGUGUAAUGUCUGGAACACUGCUUUAUGGCUGGGGAUACUUCCUGAAAACGGUACUUAUUCCGGCUUAACUUCGCAAGCCCAAAGUUCAAGACCUUCAGGCCUCCUGCCUUCAGAUUUUCCCAGAUUGCAUUAGCUAGUAGGUGGGGUAACGGCUCACCUAGGCCACGAUCCAUAGCUGAUCUGAGAGGAUGACCAGCCACACUGGAACUGAGGCACGGUCCAGACUCCUACGGGAGGCAGCAGUGGGGAAUAUUGCACAAUGGGCGCAAGCCUGAUGCAGCCAUGCCGCGUGUAUGAAGAAGGCCUUCGGGUUGUAAAGUACUGUCAGCGGGGAGGAAGGGAGGAAAGAGAAUACCUGUGCUAAUUGACGUUACCAGCAGAAGAAGCAACGGCUAACUACGUG